rnacentral:rRNA from 1 species
GAUGAACGCUGGCGGCGUGCCUAAUACAUGCAAGUCGAGCGAACAGACGAGGAGCUUGCUCCUCUGACGUUAGCGGCGGACGGGUGAGUAACACGUGGAUAACCUACCUAUAAGACUGGGAUAACUUCGGGAAACCGGAGCUAAUACCGGAUCAUAUAUUGAACCGCAUGGUUCAAUAGUGAAAGACGGUUUUGCUGUCACUUAUAGAUGGUUCCGCGUCGCAUUAGCUAGUUGGUAAGGUAACGGCUUACCAAGGCGACGAUGCGUAGCCGACCUGAGAGGGUGAUCAGCCACACUGGAACUGAGACACGGCCCAGACUCCUACGGGAGGCAGCAGUAGGGAAUCUUCCGCAAUGGGCGAAAGCCUGACGGAGCAACGCCGCGUGAGUGAUGAAGGUCUUCGGAUCGUAAAACUCUGUUAUUAGGGAAGAACAAAUGUGUAAGUAACUAUGCACGUCUUGACGGUACCUAAUCAGAAAGCAACGGCUAACUACGUG